AUUGAACGCUGGCGGCAGGCCUAACACAUGCAAGUCGAACGAGUGGCGGACGGGUGAGUAAUGUCUGGGAAACUGCCUGAUGGAGGGGGAUAACUACUGGAAACGGUAGCUAAUACCGCAUACCAUCGGAUGUGCCCAGAUGGGAUUAGCUAGUAGGUGGGGUAAAGGCUCACCUAGGCGACGAUCCCUAGCUGGUCUGAGAGGAUGCGCAGACACACUGGAAAUGAGACACGGGCCAGAAGCCUACGGGAGGCAGCAGUGGGGAAUAUUGCACAAUGGGCGAAAGCCUGAUGCAGCCAUGCCGCGUGUAGGAAGAAGGCCUUCGGGUUGUAAAGUACUGUCAGCGGGGAGGCGGUACCCGCAGAAGAAGCACCGGCUAACUCCGUGCCAGCAGCCGCGGUAAUUC
rnacentral:rRNA from 1 species